GAYSAACGCAUGGCGGCGCGCCUAACACAUGCAAGUCGAACGGAGCGCAUGAGAAGAUCUCUUCGGAGUGAUUUUUGUGUUGCUUAGUGGCGAACGGGKGAKUAACACGUGAAUAACCUACCUCUGAGUGGGGGACAACAUCCGGAAACGGAUGCUAAUACCGCAUAAGACCACARCCGGACAUCCGGCGGGGGCCAAAGGAGCAAUUCGCUCGGAGAUGGAUUCSCGUCUGAUUARAUAGUUGGCGGGGUAACGGCCCACCAAGUCKACGAUCAGUAGCCGGACUGAGAGGUUGAACGGCCACAUUGGGACUGAGACACKGCCCAUACUCCUACGGGAGGCAGCAKUGGKGAAUAUUGCACWAUGGGCGAAAGCCUGAUGCAGCGACGCCGCGUGAGGGAAGAAGGUUUUCGGAUUGUAAACCUCUGUCUUCGGGGACGAAACAAAUGACGGUACCCGAGGAGGAAGCCACGGCUAACUACRUGCCAGCAGCCGCGGUAAAACGUAGGUGGCAAGCGUUGUCCGGAAUUACUGGGUGUAAAGGGAGCGCAGGYGSGACGGCAAKUUGAAUGUGAAAACUAUGGGCUCAACCCAUAGAUUGCGUUCAAAACUGCUGUUCUUGAGUGAUGKAGAGGCAGGCGGAAUUCCCGGUGUAGCRGUGCCAAUGCCUANAUAUCGGGANGAACACCAGUGGCGAANGCGGCCUGCUGKACAUUUACUGACGCUGAGGCUCGAAAGUGUGGGGGAGCAAACUGGUAUUAGUAUACCCUGGUUAUUCCACACCGUAAACGAUGAUUACUACGUGUGGGGGGAUANACCCCCCUCCGUNCCGCAGCUAACGCAAUAAGUAAUCCACCUGGGGAGUACGGUCGCAAGACUGAAACUCAAAGGAAUUGACGGGGGCCCGCACAAGCAGUGGAGUAUGUGGUUUAAUUCGACGCAACGCGAAGAACCUUACCAGGUCUUGACAUCCCUUGCAUAGCCUAGAGAUAGGUGAAGCCCUUCGGGGCAAGGAGACAGGUGGUGCAUGGUUGUCGUCAGCUCGUGUCGUGAGAUGUUGGGUUAAGUCCCGCAACGAGCGUAACCCUUAUCGUUAGUUACUACGCAAGAGGACUCUAGCGAGACUGCCGUUGACAAAACGGAGGAAGGUGGGGAUGACGUCAAAUCAUCAUGCCCUUUAUGACCUGGGCUACACACGUACUACAAUGGCCGUUAACAGAGAGAAGCGAAAGAGCGAUCUGGAGCAAAACUCAGAAAAACGGUCUCAGUUCGGAUUGGAGGCUGCAACCCGCCUCCAUGAAGCCGGAAUUGCUAGUAAUCGCGGAUCAGCAUGCCGCGGUGAAUACGUUCCCGGGCCUUGUACACACCGCCCGUCACACCAUGAGAGCCGGGGGGACCCGAAGUCGGUAGCAUAACCGCAAGGAGUGCGCCGCCGAAGGUAAAACUGGUGAUUGGGGUG
rnacentral:rRNA from 1 species